AACGCGAAGAACCUUACCAAGGCUUGACAUAUACGAGAACGGGCCAGAAAUGGUCAACUCUUUGGACACUCGUAAACAGGUGGUGCAUGGUUGUCGUCAGCUCGUGUCGUGAGAUGUUGGGUUAAGUCCCGCAACGAGCGCAACCCUCGUUCUAUGUUGCCAGCACGUAAUGGUGGGAACUCAUGGGAUACUGCCGGGGUCAACUCGGAGGAAGGUGGGGAUGACGUCAAAUCAUCAUGCCCCUUAUGUCUUGGGCUUCACGCAUGCUACAAUGGCCGGUACAAAGGGCUGCAAUACCGUAAGGUGGAGCGAAUCCCAAAAAGCCGGUCCCAGUUCGGAUUGAGGUCUGCAACUCGACCUCAUGAAGUCGGAGUCGCUAGUAAUCGCAGAUCAGCAACGCUGCGGUGAAUACGUUCCCGGGUCUUGUACACACCG
rnacentral:rRNA from 1 species